rnacentral:rRNA from 1 species
UACAGAGGGUGCAAGCGUUGUUCGGAAUCAUUGGGCGUAAAGGGCGUGUAGGCGGUCUGUUAAGUCAUGUGUGAAAUCCCUCGGCUCAACCGGGGAACGACGCAUGAAACUGACAAGCUAGAGUACCAAAGAGGGGGGUGGAAUUCCGGGUGUAGCGGUGAAAUGCGUAGAUAUCCGGAGGAACACCGGUGGCGAAGGCGGCUUCCUGGACCGACACUGACGCUGAGGCGCGAAAGCUAGGGGAGCAAACGGG